GAGGACGGGCUUUCUACACUGCUUCAUUAGAACACGAAAACUAUUUUGCUGCCUAUGAGUCCACUGUGAGCCGAAGAGAAGUUAGUUCACUUCCUUGGUGUCUGGGGUCCUGUAAUUCUGAGUCAUGGCCACAUUAACUUGCUACUGAAAACGCAGGAGCUCAGCAGCAUGGCCAACCCCUGGUUCACAGUGUCUGGAACUACCAGGCAGGGGAGAAGGCUUGCCAACUCGGUGCAGAGGGACCUGGGUGUGCGCGUUUCUUUUUAAAGCUGCGACUUUCUCUUGUGGAAUCCAAUUCUCCCCAAUAGGAAGGAUGGAAAAUUCCCAUUUCCUCAUUCUCCCCUAUAACAAUGAAGUGUACUGUCCUUUGAGGGCAGGUUCCCAUGGCUGUUGGCGCUGCUGGCAUGAACAGGCCUGACCAAGGAGACACUCAGCAAAGCAAAGGCUAUCCAGGGUGGUAUCUCAGAGCCUUCAGGAGGGCUCAGAAGUCAGAAAGGACAUCACCGGCUUUCAUGUGAGCAUCAUGCAAGUCUCUGAAGAGAGUAUGGCCACAGCCCAUUUUCUCUAGACAGCAGGAAAGUAUCCAUAACAAUGAGGAGGGUGGGGGGAAACACUAAAAAUAUUCUGAACAAGUGGCUCUUUAUAAACAAGUAUCUUAUUACAUGUAAACUAGCUUGUGAUGUUACAUAAAUUUUAUGUAAGAAGAAAGCCACACUCAAGAUGAGUUAGCAUUAGAAGAUUUUUCUUGCUCUACAUGGGUGAUUGCAAAAUGUUACUUGCAGACAGGGUCAGCCGUCUGCAAAAUUCUGAAGGAGGCGAUUGCGGCUCGGCUUCCCAGUUCUCUACCCUUUUCUCAAGGACAGCACCUGGUAUCUUUGGAAUGAAAGUCUGGAUUAGGCAGCUCUGGUUUAAAUCCCAGCCGUGUCCUGCCAGCCCUCACCCCCCUCCUGCCCCAUGAUCUAUCUGGUCAGGUCACUCUGUCUUCUGUCUUCAUAUGUAAAAACACCUGAACUCACAGGGUUGUGGUGAGAAAUCACACUGUGCGUGCUGCUCCUACCUGACACUCAGAAAUGCUCUUUCUUUUCUGCUCUCCUGCCCAGUGGUCCUUUUCCCUCCCCAGCGCCCAAGGAGUCCUCCUGAUCUACAGAGCCCCAUUUCUCCUCUCCACCAGUAUCCAUUCAAAGGAACUUCCAGGAAUGGAUCUAAAAAUGAUUAAUGCUCUAAUGCAAUGACUACCAAUAGCUUAAUAAGCCAUCUCCUUGGCCCAUGCUGUGUGUGUGUGUGUGUGUGUGUGUGUGUGUGUGUGUGUGUGUGUGUGUGUGUGUAAAACGUACUCGAGCAUGAGAUGUGUACCAGGAGAUCAAACUUGGGGACUGUUCCUCAGGUUCCAUCUACCUUGUUCUUUGAAACAGUAUCUUCUCACUGGCUUGAGUUCAGAGUAGGCCAGGCCAGCUGGCCAGUGAAGCCCAGGGAUCCACCUGUCUGCCAUCCCUAUGCAGAAAGGUAUGCAAUAACCUGCCCAGUGUUUUUUGUUUCUUAGUUUUGUAUUUGGGGUCUGGUGGAAGAACUGAGGUCCUUCCUUAUAAGGCAAGCACCUGACUGAGUGAGUCACCUCCCAGCCCUUACCCCUUCAAUAAAACUCAUGUUCAAUAACAAACUUCUUCUGGUAGAAAUGCAGGCAUCAAAGUAAGGGCUGGGGAAUAUUCUGAAGGCAGCAGGUCUUCUACGGAAACUCUGAAGCCAGACAGAUAAGCAAAUUGCUUGGAUAGUAGGGGCACCAUGAUAGGAUGUUCCAAAAGGCACAGUUUCUUGGGAUUAUCACUGGCUGAGGCUAAAGGGCCUUUCUUUCCCUCAUUGAUCGCCGAGCUUUCUAUUUAUGUAAACAAGAGUAUUUCUUGUUUUUUAGCUGGAUCCUAAAUACGUCCCAUCAUAUAGAGUAUGAAGGAGAUAAGGUUGAGCAUCUGUCAAAAACAAAUUUCCGGGAAACGAUCCAAGCUGUAAGAAGCCACGGAGGAAGAGACCCAGGAAGGUCCAGGGUUUGCUACGCCUCUGCUGUAGAAGUGACAUUUCCAAAUCACCUUAUCUAAGAGUCGAAGUUUAGAAUGGCAAAGACUGCUUGGGGGAGGGCUCAGUGUCCCUGGCGGUGUCCUGCAGAGGUAGGACAUUCAUCAGCCAUGCCCUAGUCACAUGCUGGCACCACACAAGAUCGGUAGCUCCGAUGACCUGCAGCGUCCAUUCAACCCCCCAAUUCUACUGUAGGUCUAUGAAAGCAGCAGCAAAGAAGAAAACGUAACUUCAAAUCUUCAGAGGUUGGAGUCUGCUCUCAAAGAUGAGCCCCAAAGCCUUUGAGACAGAGAAGACAAUCCGACAUGGGUGCUAUCCCACCAACUGUGACCGUCUCAGCACAUUCUCAGAUUGGCUCUUCUGAGCUAGACUCCCAGGACACCACAGGAAGCAUGGGUCUCGACACACUGAUGCUAUUUGGGAUUGUAGAGCCACUGACACCAACUGAUAUUCACACACGCACCCUCCAUCCCUGACGUACCCAAGCCACUCAGGAUCCUCAUAAAUGCAUCAACACAACUGCCCUUCUUGUUUUUCUAAAAAUGUGGUUUGUGAGCUGGCCCCACAAUCUGAGUUCAGUCCUCAGAACCCAUGGUAGAAGGAGAGGCUCCUCCUAAAAGCUGUCUUCUGACUUUGUGCUUAUGCCCCCCCACACACACACACACGCACGCACACG